UUUGGCGUCGCCUCCGGGGGAGUUGAAGACACAUCAAAGGAGCUCCGGCACCCGGCGCCCGAAGAGCUCUCAGCCUGCCGGGUCCCCCUGAAUUACACCAGCGAAGGCUUUCCCGGGGUGAGAGCCCUGCUCACCGCGCACCUGUGUCCCCGGGCCGGCCGCCAGUGCCUCGCCUGUCACCCCCAUUGCAGCAGAUGCCGCCGAUAGCAGCUUGCCGCUGGGCUCGGGCUGUCCGUGGGAACGGGGCACAGCUUGGCAGGGCUACAGGAGACUUCGGAGGGACGGGCAGGAGCUCUCCGGAGACGCCAGGCGGUGGAAGAGCAUGUUUCUCAAGAGCUGGGGCCAGAAGCCAGGGCCUGGUGCCUGCUAGGCAAGGGUGCUACGGCUUCUCCUCAAGAGAUGAAGUUGAUAAAUAUAUUUAUAUAAAAGGUUUUGGAAAAGGACCCAUGGAGUAUUAGUUGAGUCUGUAUUAAAUUCUGCCUGGGGCUGGAGCUGGGAUAGAUCAAGCAUUCUGGUUUUUUGUUUUAUUUUUUUGCUUCCAGUACCGGGAAUUGAACUCACGACCUUACACUUGCCAGGCAAGCGCUGUGCCACUGGGCUAAAUCCCCAGCCCCUAGAUUGAGUAUUCUGGAACCAGUUGAUCAGUCCUACUCUAUCUUCCGCUGCUGGGCAAGCGGCUUGACCUCCCUGGGUCUGCGCUGCAUCCGGUGUAACCUGGGGUAAUCAGAGCACCUGUAGGGGUGUGCAGGGCAGAGACGGGUGAGGGCCCGGAAGCCCAGCCGGCAUGCAGUGAGCACACCGAGUGUCAGCGGCUGUUGUUAUUAGCGGUUACAAGCGUGGCCUCCGGAGCCAGCCAGUCUGGGAUCAAGUCCUCGCUCUGCCUGUUGGGCUUGGGAAAGGAUUUCAUCUUUAUCACGACCUCAGUUUCCUCACCUGUAAAAUGGAGAUGAAAGUAAUUGAGUCUCAAUCACAAAAUGAGUAAGCUAAAGAUGAACCAAGCCUAAGCACGGGUAACAUACACAGAACGCAGGCUGGCGCAGAGUGUGCUCAGUAAGUGCGAUCUGCUUAAUA
rnacentral:lncRNA from 1 species